rnacentral:rRNA from 1 species
AACGAACGCUGGCGGCAUGCCUAACACAUGCAAGUCGAACGAGACCUUCGGGUCUAGUGGCGCACGGGUGCGUAACGCGUGGGAACCUGCCCUUAGGUUCGGAAUAACUCCCCGAAAGGGGUGCUAAUACCGGAUAAUUUCUUCGGACCAAAGAUUUAUCGUCUUUGGAUGGGCCCGCGUUGGAUUAGCUAGUUGGUAGGGUAAAAGCCUACCAAGGCGACGAUCCAUAGCUGGUCUGAGAGGAUGAUCAGCCACACUGGGACUGAGACACGGCCCAGACUCCUACGGGAGGCAGCAGUGGGGAAUAUUGGACAAUGGGCGAAAGCCUGAUCCAGCAAUGCCGCGUGAGUGAUGAAGGCCUUAGGGUUGUAAAGCUCUUUUACCCGGGAUGAUAAUGACAGUACCGGGAGAAUAAGCUCCGGCUAACUCCGUG